rnacentral:misc_RNA from 1 species
UCUCCGUUGGUGAACCAGCGGAGGGAUCAUUACAGAGUUGCAAGACUCCCAAACCAUCGCGAACGCUACCCCUAUCGUUGCUUCGGCGGGCGUUGUCUUCCUUACUGCCCGCGAGGGCGGGGGGAAGAGCCCGCCGGAGGUCUUAAACCCUGAAUUCUAGUGUAUCUCUGAGGAUGAAAAAAAACCAAUUAAAACUUUCAACAACGGAUCUCUUGGCUCUG